CCUACGGGAGGCUGCAGUGAGGAAUAUUGGUCAAUGGACGAGAGUCUGAACCAGCCAAGUAGCGUGAAGGAUGACUGCCCUAUGGGUUGUAAACUUCUUUUAUAAAGGAAUAAAACGAGGCACGUGUGCCUUUUUGCAUGUACUUUAUGAAUAAGGAUCGGCUAACUCCGUGCCAGCAGCCGCGGUAAUACGGAGGAUCCGAGCGUUAUCCGGAUUUAUUGGGUUUAAAGGGAGCGUAGAUGGGUUGUUAAGUCAGUUGUGAAAGUUUGCGGCUCAACCGUAAAAUUGCAAUUGAUACUGGCAGUCUUGAGUACAGUUGAGGUAAGCGGAAUUCGUGGUGUAGCGGUGAAAUGCUUAGAUAUCACGAAGAACCCCGAUUGCGAAGGCAGCUUACUAAACUGUGACUGACAUUGAUGCUCGAAAGUGUGGGUAGCAAACAGGAUUAGAUACCCUAGUAGUC
rnacentral:rRNA from 1 species